rnacentral:misc_RNA from 1 species
AACGCAACUGGCGCCGGUUUACCGGCAUGCCUGUUUCAGUGUGCUAGGAGAGUAAACUAUCAUUAUAAAAUAUAAUGCGAUUGAGGUACAUUUAUGUUCUUCUUUCGUUAAAUAUGAAGGUGUGAAAGAUGAGUAAUCUCUCACACUGGCAAACGAAGUAGUCAUGCUUGCUCGUGAUCUCGUUUAACCAGUGCUAAAGGUUUUUGCUUAGCUAUAAAUCACAUCUAAUCAAUUAAAUAUCCACAAAUUGGGCAUAUAAAAUAAAAAAAAGAUACCCGCCGAACUUAA